CCUACGGGUGGCAGCAGUGGGGAAUAUUGCACAAUGGUCGGAACCCUGAUGCAGCGACGCCGCGUGAGUGAAGAAGUAAUUCGUUAUGUAAAGCUCUAUCAGCCGGGAAGAAAAUGACGGUACCUGAGUAAGAAGCCCCGGCUAACUACGUGCCAGCAGCCGCGGUAAUACGUAGGGGGCAAUCGUUAUCCGGCUUUACUGGGUGUAAAGGGCGCGUAGAAGGCAGUGCAAGUCUGGAGGGAAAGGCGGGGGCUCAACCCCCGGACUGCUCUGGAAACUGUACGGCUGGAGUGCAGGAGAGGUAAGUGGAAUGCCCGGUGUAGCGGUGAAAUGCGUAGAUAUUAGGAGGAACACCAGUGGCGAAGGCGGCUUACUGGACUGUAACUGACGUUGAGGCUCGAAAGCGUGGGGAGCAAACAGGAUUAGAUACCCCUGUAGUC
rnacentral:rRNA from 1 species